AACGUUGAUAAUUAAUGGUAUAAGCAUUGUGCAGCUGUGAGUUUCACCAGAAAGUGAGAGGAGAGGAAAUGCCUAAUAAAAAAACAGUAUCACAAAAGAGAGAACAGUCACUUUUUUUUUGUGAAACGUACAGGAAAUGUAGGAUCCACAUAGAAAUCACUAUUACUUG